CGCCAAAACAAUGGCAUUUACAAUUUCCGAACCCGAUGUAACUCAGCUUAUAAAAUCUAAAGUUCGGGUCUUUAAGCUGUGAGGUGUUUAGUGAAGUAUGCCGUGAAUAAUGAGCCUCGGUUUGGUAUUUAUUUAAGAAGUGAAGUGCGACACCGCUAACUUAGUUUGCUAACUCUUCUGGUAGCUUAGCCACAUGCUAACUGGACCAGAACCUGGAGUAUAUAAUGCCAAGCACGAGCGCGUUUUAGUCAGCUGAUCUUAGUGCUUUAGACAAGGUACCGAACUGAGCAGCCGCUUCUCUGUCACGCUGUAUUCCCCUGGGAGUAGCACUCAAUCAAAUGCUAGUUGACUGUAGCUUAGUGGCCGUGAAAACAUGUCCAGUCCAAACGCGAACGCAGCCGGACUCACAGUAGCAGCUGGGAGCGGAGAGAAGGUGGAUCAGGUCGUGCAGCCGGUUCUGUUUGAGAUCUUUGGGGAGAUGUGGAAGGUGCAGGCUCGGUUAGGACAGGGAGGGUCUGCCUCUGUGUACCGGGUGAGCUCUGCCAGGUCCAGUUGUGCUGCUGUGAAAGAGUUUCUGCUGGAUGCUCAGGGUGGAGAUUACGGCUAUCUCAAGGAAAGAUCCGUGCUAGAGGACAUCCAGGGCCACAAAAAUAUCGUAACGCUGUACGGCGUGUUCACCAAUCACAACCCGCUGGGCAUAGCGACCCGCUGCUUGUUGCUGGAGCUUCUGGACGUGAGCGUGUCGGAGUUGCUGGUGAGAGGCAGCAGCCAGGGCCACUCCAUGUGGCUGAUCCAGCACUGUGCCCGUGAUGUCCUGGAGGCGCUGUGUUUCCUGCACCGCGAGGGAUACGUGCACGCCGACCUCAAGCCUCGCAACAUUCUCUGGAGCCCUGACGACGAGUGCUUCAAGCUCAUCGACUUCGGACUCAGCUUUAAAGAGGGCCACCAGGAUGUGAAGUACAUCCAGACAGAUGGGUACAGAGCGCCCGAGGCUGAGCUGCAGAACUCGCUGGCUCAGGCAGGACUGGAGGGAGACUCGGGCUGUACCACUGCUGUGGAUUUGUGGAGUCUGGGCGUCAUUCUGCUGGAAAUGUUCUCAGGAAUGAAACUAAAAGAAACCGUCAAGUCUCAGGAAUGGAAGGACAACAGUUCUGCAAUAGUGGAUCAUAUCUUCUCAAGCAAUUCUGUGGUGUACCCUGCUAUCCCCGUCUACCAUCUCAGAGAUCUCAUCAAAAGCAUGCUUCACCACAACCCAAACUGCAGAAGCACAGCCGAAGCUGCACUCAUCAGCCCCUUCUUCAGUAUUCCUUUUGCUCCUCACAUCGACGACUUGGUUCUGCUGCCUACGCCUGUCCUCAGACUGCUCAAUGUAAUUGAUGACAGUCAUUUACACAAUGAUGAUGAAUAUGAAGACAUUAUAGAGGACAUGAGGGAGGAGUGUCAGAAAUAUGGAUCCGUCUUAUCGCUGUUGAUUCCGAAAGAAAAUCCUGGGAAAGGCCAGGUCUUCGUCGAGUAUGCAAACGCCGGAGACUCCAAAGAAGCCCAGAGGCUGCUGACAGGCCGCACUUUUGAUGGCAAAUUUGUGGUGGCUACUUUCUACCCGCUGAGUGCCUAUAAGAGAGGUUAUCUGUAUCAGACCGUGCAGUGAGGGGCUACAAGUACAAUAAUGUUCCAGUACGAACAUGGCUUAGUCGUGAAACACAGUGUGGUGUUGUAUCACAAGUAUCUCGGUGCACACUCCUAGUGCUUCCUCAAGGCAUCUGCCGUGUCCACCCUUAUCUUUUCAAAGAAGUGAAGGAGGAAAUGGAGGCAGUGCAAGAAUGUAGGUGUGAAAUUCAGAAACUGGCUUUCUCAAUACGCACUCAUUUCUUGAUAAGUAUUUGCCCCCAAGCAGGAAGCCUAAAAGGUUUGUUGUUGUAGCCCGGUACUGUGAUUGAGAUUCUAGUAUUGAUGCUAAAUAAAAUAUUCAGAGCUAAUUAGCCAUGGCAGCACUUUUUAAUUUUUUUGGCACUUUUAUCGCAGCUCCCACUGCAGCCAAAGUCUUUCAGGAUCAAAAAGCACAAAUACACGCAUCGCUGCCUUCUCAGAGAAAUUCCACGCUGUGUAAAAAUUGUGCUCUCGGCUGUGACAAAGUGCCAAAAAUCAGACCUGAACUGACGUUCCGAUUCCAAAAAAAUGACCCAAGGUUGCUGUGAAGUUUGCACUCUGUGUGUAUGUACAUGAGAUAUAACCCGCAAAGCUUGGAAACUUGUCUAUAGUCUAUAAACACAGCUGCUUUAGUUACUAAAGGCCAAAAAACUGAACGUAGAAAGACUGGGUCCUUUUUUUUUUUUUAAACUGACAAACCGACUACUUUCUCACAAGACGUGAGGAUGUCCAUCCAGCUGGGGGAGUCAAAAUAGCUUUAAAGGUCCCAUGGCAUGAAAUGUUCACUUUCUGAGGUUUUUUAACGUUAAAAUGAGUUCCUCUGACCUUCUUAAGUCACCCCAGUGGCUAGAAAUUUCAUAAUGUGUAAACCAAACUAUGCCCAACAUUUGAGAAUGGCGCGUCAAAACGGCACGUUGAGAAGCUCUUCCCUUUACUACGUCAGCAAGGGAGAUGAUCCCCACGCCCCCCCUCUGGAUUCCCACCCACUGUAUGAAUUGCCCGCCCAGUUGUAGUGAGGAGACCAUAGAGGACACAUGGCGUCACCUAAGCGAGCGAAACAUGGAAGUUGCGCUGUACAUGGAUGUGACAACACAGAAAGGAGUCUGUUUUUACUGCCGACGGGAGAGCCCCUGAAGAUGCAGUGGCUUAAUUUUAUUUACUUCAGUAAUACGCCGUCGAGUCUACCUAAGACGGUGUAUGUUUGUCGGAAGCAUUUUCCUGAUGAAUGUUUCCACAACUUGGGACAGUACAGGGCAGGUUUUGCACAUCAACUGUCACUGAAGCCUGGGUCCGUACCAAGCAUCCCUGCCGCAUCAGCAACAAACACCGAACAAGUAAGUGUACGGUAUAACUGUUAAGUCGUUUUGCCGUGUUUUAAAAUCGGUGCCACGUUAGCCUUGCAAUGGCUACAUUAGCUGUGCAGCUAACCGCUUCCUGCAGUUAGCCAGGUACUCUGUCUGCGCUACAAAACCAAAAAGCAUGCAGCAUGCUCUGUUAUAAUAGCCAAUCAAAACAGUUUUUACAAAGACACCGGCAUUCUUUAAGUCACUCGUUCAUUUUAUUUGUUUGUUUGUUCAGUAAAAACCCAAACAUUUGUUGAAUUUAUUUUAUUUCCUCGCGUCGCACCUUAAUGACGUCAGCGCGCGGUAUUUUUCCCUUCGCGGUUUGUUCCUUCUCUCUCGCCAUAGUAAGACACCCACAUCCGCUUGUUCUGACCCACUGGAGGUAGCGUCACAGUGCUGUUAGCCAAUCAGAGGUAACACGUUUACAUGUCAUGAAUAUUAAUGAUAAGACCCGCCCCCACCCUCUACCCUUCCCCGCCUCCUGCUUCUCAUUAGCAAAACGACGCACUGGGAAAAGCGCUGAAAUGGGGCUUUCUCCCAGGAGGCUAUAUCUACGUGCCGAGGGUUCAUUUCGAGAAAGGCUGCGGAUAUAACAUCCGGAAACCUCCACGAGCCCGUUUAAAGCAUCAACAAACCACCAUGCCAUGGGACCUUUAAGCUCGUCGCAUCAAAUGCAGCUCGGACUUGACAGCCGCCAUCUGCUUCCUUCCUCCUGGGUUUAGAUAAAUGAACUUUUGAAUCCUACAGAACGGACCCAAAGGCACUGCUUUAUAUCAGAUAUUGUAAUCGGUUCUCGAAACGAGCUGUUUAAUGUGAUUAGUGGGUUUACAUUGCUACUGACAGUCGGAUCAAUGUGCUAAAGAGGUUCUAGAUGCGGAUUUAAUCCAGAUGAGAAGGCUAGGUGUUCGAUCUGUGGGUUCUUCCUUUGAACACUGACCCUUUUUAAUCGAGCGCAGUGGCUCGGGUUGGAGCGGAAUUGUUUAGGAAUGAAACAUGAACAGAUUCCUGCGUUUUUUAUAGAUUUUAUGGAUUCAGCAGGGAUAAGUUGUAUUUAAACACAUGGACGUGUAGAUAAGAUGGGAAUAUAUGCGUGAAUUUAUGUUUCUGGAGAAACGGCACGUAAAUGAUGUCAACUGGUUUGUCCUGCAGCUUUAGAAGCACUUUGCUUACACAAUUGAUUUGUAUUUAUUUAUUUAAUUAUUUGUUGGUCCAAAAUGCCAUCUUUUUCUCAACUUCAUUCAUCAAUUAACUCUUAGUACAGCUAAAUAUUUGUUAUUCCACGAAAUCGAGUCGUACAUGAGCUGAUAGCUGACGAGGCGCGUAGCACCGAGUCGGCUAUAAGCCGUAUAUGACGAGAUUGAGUGGAAUAACUGUUUUAUUCUAUCCACAUUCACUGGAUUUUGAGAAACGGAGCAUUUUUAUUUUUUGCUAGUUUGAUAAACAAAACUUUUUGUACAAAACGUCUGACAAAAUCAUUUCCGCUUAGAGUGUAAACAAAACGGCGAAAUGACAGGAGCAAUUUGUGAAAAAUGCAAUGAUCAUUCUUGGGGAAAAAAAAAGAUGCAUUCUUACCAUCAAAUACUUUCAUUCCAUGUUUUGUUUUCGAGUAGUUUUUAUUUCGUCUUCAGUUGGUUCAGCAACACGCUCCGCCAUUUUGUUUUUCUCUACUCAUGGUAUAUGAGCUGAUAUCCUAGUAGUAGAGUAGCCAAUCAGAGCGCAUGAUUGGUCAUAUCCAGUGAAUGUGGAUCGAAUAAUUCCUGGUAUACAGUGCACUUACUCCAUGUAUACACUUGGGUCAAAUGUCUAAGACCAUUGUUUGGUGUAGGUUUUUUGGGGUUUUUUUUAAAUAAAUUUAAAACCGGAUAUAAGCAGAGUUUAGAAAGUUUCGAGUGUUCAGACGACACUGAUGGAUUUGUUCGAAUACAAUUCGUCAGGUUUAUGAAUCUACUUUUCACUGAUGUUGCUGAUGAUGAUCUAAUUUGGAAUGGAAAAGAAUGCAAAACGGAAACAGUUGCACUGUUGGUCUUAGACUUUUGCACCCCGCUGUGUAGUGUGUGUGUGUGUGUGUGUGUGUGAGAGAACAAUUUAGACGGGUAAAGCCAUAGGAGUCUGACCUUUUGUUAAUGUUUGAUCAGACGUUGCACACGUAGAAACUCUUGCUGUGAAUUUGACUUUGUUUAUAAAUGGAGCGAGCGGAUUCUUGCAGUCGUACCCGCUGCUGUUCAGUGCAGUUAGAGUUUACAGUUGCACAACAGUAUUGAAAUUGUUCGUUCGUUGCAUUACCUACAAGAGCACAGUUCUCAGACAAACGAAAUCUUUUUUCUUUUUAGAAUAGUUGUAUUUUGCUCACGUAAAAAUGUGCUCCAAGGAUACGUUGUUUACCAGAAGGUAAUUUCUACAAAGUGUGAACAAAGGAAUAGUGGAAAUACUGACUGAUACAAACUUUCACACAGAUUAAAGAAAUACUCCAGUAAUUUUAAACCUGAUCUGAUCCUGUGUGUGUGUGUGUGUGUGUGUGUGUGUGUGUGUGUGUGUGUGUGUGUGUGAGAGAUAUUACCAAAUUACCAGAUAUUAUCUUUUAUACACAGUUCUUGAAAUAUUCGCGGUGACCGAAUUAACCCUAAUUCAACAGAACUUGUAUAUUCAAAAUCUGCUGAGUCUAUGAAAAAUUCGAGUUAAUGAAGAAGUUAUAGAAAUGUAAUAAUUUUAAAUCUGCAGAGUCUAUUCUAAUGAUUUCGAACAUAAUAUCCUAAUUCUAAUGAUUCUAAUACUACACAUUAAAAAAAAUUUAAAGCUCUAAUGAUUCUAACAGUUAUAACUCUAAGUAUAGCUGCAAGAAGCGAUCAUCGGGGUCCAAGCAUGUCAGGAAAUAUCCCCGGUCCGACAGUGGCCAGUUCUUGACAAGAACAGUAUAAAGUCCAAAGAUGCACAGACUUUAUCAAGUUCUAUCAACUCAGUGUUGCUCAAUAUUAAUAGGGUACAAUGUCUGUGAAAAGCCAGGUCACUGAAGGUGGCCAUCUGUUUCAUUUCAGUUUAAUCUUUUAAGACUUUUGGUUCCUGAGAAACACCUAAACUCCACCUCCUAUUGACAUCCAUACCUCAAACACACUUCCUCAUAUCGUAACGUUUCAUAUGAAUCCGGACAACCAGCCUUCAGUUACAGCUUUUUUACUAAAUCAAGCUCCAACUUAAAGGAGAACUGAAGUCAUUUUUAAACUUGCUUUAUUUCUUAAUUAACGUGUUAUUCAAUUCCGUUUUCGGUUUGAGUAACCUGAUAUCGUGACUCGUAUCGGCAACUAAUCGCAAUUAAAUAUUAUACUUAUCGGCCUGUUCGGUUUUUAGCCGUGUUGAAUGUAGUUCGUUUGGUCCACGGCAGGCGUCACUUAUCCGCGCGAUCUUCACGAGACUUGUGCGAGACUUCGAAGCGUGAAGCGUCAGCCAGGUGUCAGUGCCGCCAUUUUUGAAAACUGUUUUCCAAAUAAAACAUUGCACAAAAAUUUGUUUAAAUGACGAUUACUGCCUACUUUUUUCAAACUUUCCUGAUUGCUAUCAAAACCAACAAAACUUCCGGCUUGAUUACAUCAGCAUUCGAAAGAGGGCGCGCGUAUUUUGACUAUCCCUGCGUCCAAAUCGGUCCCUACUCACUAUAUAGGGCACUAUAUAGUGAGGAUGCCAUUUUGGAGUGCUGUCCGAAACCUUAGUGAGGAUUAUUUACACCCUGUAUAGUGCACUCAAAGUAUCCCACAAUAGAGGUCUGCGCAGGUCGGAUUUUUCAGUCCCGCUCCCGCCCGCAAAGAAUUAUGAUUUUCAGUCCCGCUCCCGCCCGCGCCUGCCAUAUUUUGUCCCGCUCCCGCCCGCAAAUCCCGCAUAAUGCAGACGUUCGCGUUAUUUCUCAUAAAGUUCUUGUCUUGACAGAGUGUGAUGGUGCCCCGCCCCCUACUUUGAGUGGUUUUGAGCAUAAAUAUCUACAGCUCACGUUCACGUUUAUUAUUUACCUUGUUUCUGAAUUCGGAAUGUUGAAAUGGCAGCAUGUAGACCUAAUAAUAAUAAUUAUUUAAGUAGGCUAAUCAUUUAAGUAUGCGCUGUCCCGUGGUGCGUCUCCUAUGAAUAAUUAGUGUGAAAGGAGAGAUGGAUCGCACUCUUGAACUUAUUCUUUGUUACAUUUCUUUUCAGUUGUUUUUAGCAGCAGAAGGAGACAAACGUUUCAGCUGUUGCCUUCGUCAGUGUCUCUAAUAAUAAUAAUAAACAAUUAAAGCCGCAAGCGGCCUCGACGGGCCCUCGCGCCAGCGGCCAAGGGGGGGCGGGGGCAUGCGUCCCCGCGAAAUACCUUCCACAGCUUCUUCGGCAAGAGACAUUACUCCCACAAUGGCGACAAAGCACAGAAUUGGACACAUGGCAACAAUAGGGUUUGCCAUAACCAGCACCCCCAGGGGCGAAAGUGCACAAAAUUUGGCGUAUAUGUCAGG